rnacentral:lncRNA from 1 species
UCUCAUGACAGACUUUUUCCAUUAUUGUGAAAGGGAGAGAGGGAUCUUGUGCAUAUACCCAACUGGGGCCCACAAAUCCCCUUUUACAUGUCCCAGUCAGAAAACAUUAGACACUAGGUCUCGAGGCAUGUCAUGUUCGUCCCCAUCGGGUGAGCUAUAUGUGCAUGAGAGAGGCAGCCCCCAACUUAGAACCUGUUUUGUUGUGUUUGUUUGUUUGAGACAGGGACUUGUUCUGUCACCACUGCUGGACAUAAGGGCCUUCUUGCUGCAUCAUAACAUGGCUGAAGGCACCAC